rnacentral:rRNA from 1 species
UACGUAGGGUGCGAGCGUUGUCCGGAAUUAUUGGGCGUAAAGGGCUCGUAGGCGGUUUGUCACGUCGGGAGUGAAAACUCAGGGCUUAACCCUGAGCCUGCUUCCGAUACGGGCAGACUAGAGGUAUGCAGGGGAGAAUGGAAUUCCUGGUGUAGCGGCGAAAUGCGCAGAUAUCAGGAGGAACACCAGUGGCGAAGGCGGUUCUCUGGGCAUUACCUGACGCUGAGGAGCGAAAGUGUGGGGAGCGAACAGG